rnacentral:rRNA from 1 species
GAUCAGCCACACUGGGACUGAGACACGGCCCAGACUCCUACGGGAGGCAGCAGUAGGGAAUAUUGGACAAUGGGGGAAACCCUGAUCCAGCAAUGCAGCGUGAGUGACGAAGGCCUUAGGGUUGUAAAACUCUUUCAUCGGUGAGGAUAAUGACAGUAGCCGAAGAAGAAGGACCGGCUAAUUCCGUGCCAGCAGCCGCGGUAAUACGGAAGGUCCUAGCGUUGUUCGGAAUUACUGGGCGUAAAGCGCAUGUAGGCGGAACAGAAAGUUAGAAGUGAAAUCCCUGGGCUCAACCUAGGAAUUGCUUUUAAAACUUCUGUUCUGGAAUUCAGGAGAGGAAAAUGGAAUUUCCAGUGUAGAGGUGAAAUUCGUAGAUAUUGGAAGGAACACCAGUGGCGAAGGCGAUUUUCUGGACUGAUAUUGACGCUGAGAUGCGAAGGCAUGGGUAGCAAACGGGAUUAGAUACCCCGGUAGUCCAUGCAGUAAACGAUGGGUGCUAGUCGUCGGACUUUUGUUCGGUGUCGUAGCUAACGCGUUAAGCACCCCGCCUGGGGAGUACGGUCGCAAGAUUAAAACUCAAAUAAAUUGACGGGGACCCGCACAAGCAGUGGAGCAUGUGGUUUAAUUCGACGCAACGCGAAGAACCUUACCAGCGUUUGACAUGGGAAGUGCCGGUUACAGAAUGGUAACCUUCAGUUCGGCUGGCUUCCACACAGGUGCUGCAUGGCUGUCGUCAGCUCGUGUCGUGAGAUGUUGGGUUAAGUCCCGCAACGAGCGCAACCCUCACUUUUAGUUGCCAUCAUUAAGUUGGGCACUCUGAAAGAACUGCCAGUGAUAAGCUGGAGGAAGGUGGGGAUGACGUCAAGUCCUCAUGGCCCUUACGUGUUGGGCUACACACGUGCUACAAUGGUAUCUACAACAGGAAGCAAGACUGCGAGGUCAAGCAAAUCCCUAAAAGAUACCUCAGUUCGGAUUGCACUCUGCAACUCGAGUGCAUGAAGCUGGAAUUACUAGUAAUCGUGGAUCAGCGUGCCACGGUGAAUGCGUUCCCGGGUCUUGUACACACCGCCCGUCACACCAUGGGAGUUGGUUCUACCUUAAGGCAAGGUUUCAAACCCUUGACCACGGUAUAGUCAGCGACUGGGGUGAAGUCGUAACAAGGUAGCCGUAGGGGAACCUGCGGCUG